rnacentral:miRNA from 14 species
GUGGAAUCAAUGGUGCCAUGCA